AUGGAAGUAUUUUCUUCAUGGCUGAGGAACUUCUGGGUACUUACAGCAGAACAUGUCAAACAUAGAAAGAGCUUGCUCCUCAUUAUUCAGAAACUCAGAAUCUCCACAUUUGGAAUAUGCUCUCUCCUGAUGUUUUUAUUAGACCUGUUAUUGCCCAGAAUUCUGUUAAUUCUGAAUCACAAGAUUGAAUUGCAUGUAAGUCCUCUCGAGUCCAUUCUUGCUCAAAGCUAAUGAAUAUUCUGUAGUGUAUAAACGUAAAGAAAAUUACUUGUCCGCCUCAAAAGUUUCAAGAGCUAUUUGUCCCUUUCCAAUUUAGGGAAACGAACAUCUUGGUGAAACAAGUUCCUUGUAUCAUUGUUAACUCUCUAUUUGUUUGCAAAAUUGUUUUACCUACUUGAAGGUUGUUCCAACCUUCUAUCAUAAAUGCACUUAAUGUGCAUGAAGUCAGAAAAUGAGAGGAAAUUGGUGAAGGUGAAUGGUCAGAUCGAGGGUGCAAUGUCAAAAACAUGUACCUUGAUCUCAGUGUUUAAGAUUUCUAUCCUGACUAAGUAAUUUUGUUUUUAAAAAAUACUAUUAAACAUUUUGCACACUAUCUGAAGAAUAUUCUUGCCUUAGCAAAGAAAAAUCAUAUAGAAUUUGAUGCAGUCAAUUAAGAAAAGUCAUCCUUCAAAUCAGUCAUUCUUCAAAAAAGUAAAAUGUGACACAGGGGCACAGAAACUUCCGGACCAUGCGGCCACUGCUGCUGUCGCUUAUUGGUCUUGUAAAAUGAGUGAACCCCCUCAGUAAAAACAAGACUAGCAGGAAACCCAUGUGAAAAUAGGAAAUAUUAAGGGGAGCCUGUCAGACCUAAUCCAAGAUUUUUGUUUUCAUGGCUCUUUAGCAAUAAAUAAGUUCUAUUAUGGGAGUCAAUUUUUUUUCCCCUUGUCUUUAGAGGGAGAAGGAUCAUGAAGUUAGAAUAAAAAUGGGGGACAGCUUACAAUUUACACCCCUGAAGUGACAGAAAAACUUCAGCGUUUCUAACUGGUAUAGACAGUUUUCUAGUUUCUCCAUGGGUAGAACUGGAAACUUUUUGUGUGGGGGGGGGGGGGGAGGGAAGGCAGAAGGACACCUCAUCAAGGAAAGGUUUGGGGGACUGAUGAGAUGAAUUACAGAUAAGUAACUUACUUACCUAUUCAGAAAAAUCCCUCACAUUUUGGGGGAGGAGGGCAUAUGCACCCACACUUACUUAGUGAGGUAUUAAUGUCUUUGCAUUUUUCAAGUAGAUUCCAUGGGCAGAGGGACCUUAGCACACAGAGGAAAAAUUUUCAGUACAGCAAUAUGUGUCAAGUUGAGUCAAAAAAUUAUAUUUUGAGCUUUUUACAUAAAAAUCUCUAAGUACAGUUUCUCGUUUCCCUUUUUUUUCUUGAAAGUUUGAAUAUUAAAUUGAGUGGAUCAGAAAAUGUACACCUCAAGAAUUUUUGAAAUUCUGCCAUUUUACCAAAAAAUUAGAUCCUAUUCAGUAACAUUAGUUUUUUCUUUUCCCCCUGAGUGCUUAAUGAAAACACCCUCGUGCUUUCUAUCUGUGUCCCUGUUGUUCCGCUGAGUAUUUGAAUGACAUUACUUACACCCAAAUCCUUUGUGGCUUGAAAUCUUUUUUUAAUAUCAUACU
rnacentral:lncRNA from 1 species